rnacentral:rRNA from 1 species
CAAUAGCGUAUAUUAACGUUGUUGCAGUUAAAAAGCUCGUAGUUGGAUUUCUGACAGGAGUGACCGGUCCGAGUCGCAAGACUCGUGUACUUUUGUGUCUUACUCUAGUCAUCCUUAUGGAGAUUGUGUUUCGGCAUUGAGUUGUCGGGCAUAGGACCCAUAUCGUUUACUGUGAAAAAAUUAGAGUGUUUAAAGCAGGCAAUUGCUGUGAAUACAUUAGCAUGGAAUAAUAAGAUAGGACUUUGGUGCUAUUUUGUUGGUUUGCCACCAAGGUAAUGAUUAAGAGGGACAGUUGGGGGUAUUCGUAUUUAAUUGUCAGAGGUGAAAUUCUUGGAUUUAUGAAAGACGAACUACUGCGAAAGCAUUUACCAAGGAUGUUUUCAUUAA